rnacentral:rRNA from 1 species
UGUGUAGGCGGUUUGCCAAGUUCGGUGUGAAAUCUCCCGGCUUAACUGGGAGGGUGCGCCGAAUACUGGCAGGCUCGAGUGCGGGAUGGGAGAGCGGAAUUCCUGGUGUAGCGGUGAAAUGCGUAGAGAUCAGGAGGAACACCUGCGGUGUAGACGGCUCUCUGGACCGCCACUGACGCUGAGACACGAAAGCGUGGGUAGCAAACAGGAUUAGAUACCCUGGUAGUCCACGCCCUAAACGAUGCAUACUUGGUGUGGGCAGUUCAUUCUGUCCGUGCCGAAGCUAACGCGUUAAGUAUGCCGCCUGGGGAGUACGGUCGCAAGGCUGAA